rnacentral:lncRNA from 1 species
UAGCUUUUAUGGAGCAGCUACAAGGUUGUCUAGUCCUAAUGGUUAUUUGUUCUGGCUCUUCUUGCCCUGUCUCUCCCCAUUACUAAUUUACAAGAAGGCAUGGGAUUCACUUGCCAGCACACAAGUAAAAAGCUAGUCCGCAGAGACCUCACAGACCAGCUAUUCUGUUCUAAAAGAGGAUGUGCAGAAGCUAGGCACAUCAAGAUGAAUUAAGAGAUUUAAAGCCUCUGCCUGGUUAAGCCCUGUAUGCUCAUUCAUCCUCCCAAUCUGUAAUGGCAGGAUGCUGGCCAGAUAGAACAAUAUACAACUUAUGCUAACCUAUUGCUGUGUUUUAAAAGACAUUUUUAUAUGAUUUCUUUUUUAACCCUUGAAAAUUGAGCAAUGAAGGGUUAAGAGAACACAGAUUCCAGACAUAAUCACAACACUUUCUUCUCACAAUGGUAUAAAUUGUAUUCUGUGUCUAUUUUCAAUUUGCAAAACAAACACAGGAUAUCCUGGAAAAAUCAAUAUUUUCUCAGUGAUUGUGGUUGUCCUCAGCUUGCCUCCAGGUCUUUUGCAGCUUUUCUUUACAGUCCUUGACUUUCUGAUUUGGGGACCUGAACUACACCCUCCACCAGAGGAAUCUGAGUCUGUGUUCUGCUAUUCCUUGCACUUACUUGCUGCUUGAAAGAAAUCCAGUUGUGCAGUUAGGCCCAGAUCCAGGAAAACACAUAAGCACGUGAUUUACAUAUAUGAAUAGUACCAUUGUGAAGGGUGCAGGCUCUUUCCCAAUAUUUGCCAUUAGUCUUUUCAUUGCUAUUGCUUCUUUGUUCCCUGUUACUGCAUGUAACAUUUAUGUUUGUUCCAAGAUUUUCCUGUAAAUUCAAAGUGGGGUCUAGGCUCUCCAGGACUGAGAGGAGAGGACUCUCAGAACAGCUGAGACAUAAACCAUACACACAACUGUGUUUAAAAUGAAAUGUCAGAAAGUUCUCAGCACUGCUUUUCAUCUCAACCAAUCAAGAUGUAUCAGAACAACUGUUGGCUGGCUUGUUUGUUCAGCCUGAACCUUUACGAAGAUCAUCCUGGUAGCUCAUUUCGUUAGAGAAAUAUCACUGCAGAAGCAGUUUAGAAAGUGUAUGAGCUACAACACAGUUGCAAUGUUAA